UACGGAGGGAGCUAGCGUUGUUCGGAAUUACUGGGCGUAAAGCGCACGUAGGCGGCUUUGUAAGUUAGAGGUGAAAGCCCGGGGCUCAACCCCGGAACUGCCUUUAAAACUGCAUCGCUUGAAUCCGGGAGAGGUGAGUGGAAUUCCGAGUGUAGAGGUGAAAUUCGUAGAUAUUGGGAAGAACACCGAUGGCGAAGGCAGCCAUCUGGACCGACACUGACGCUGAGACGCGAAAAGCGUGGGGAGCGAACAGG
rnacentral:rRNA from 1 species